GGCGGAGCCAGAAAACCGCUCCCAGUCCAGCCAGCUUGUAAACCAGUUUCCUCUGCCGCUCCCACUGCGCCCAGGCCGCCUCCCGGCCUCAGCGGCCUAUUCCAAUCCUUCCUGUGAGGCUCUCUGCGCGAGGGAUCAGACAACGCGCCUCAGUCAUUUGUCAUGUUUUGUGUAGAACUGGAAUCAAGCGGCUCCUUGUGCUGCUGAGCUGCAGCUGGGUGGAGCUGCCAGCGGCAUGCGUCCAGAACCAUCCAGAACCAUCCAGGACCGCCCAGCCUGCAGCAGCUGGUAAAUAUAAACACAUGAGCUGCAGCUCAAAGAGCUGCUUGUCCUCCGCUGGCCGGACCGGGUCCAGCAGGCAGUGGCGCCGCCGACUGCUGAGAGCCGCCAGAACAGGGUCGCUAUGGCAACAAUACCCAGAACCAGCAUGUUGACCAGAGAUGAAAAUAUCUCAUCAGCUGCCAGCCUUCCCAGCACAUUCAGCCUGAGGUCAAAGAACCAAGAUGGCUGCCGGACUGCGGUUAGAGCUGCACCCGGACGGAGGACAAGACGGCCGAGACAAAGUCCUCCAAGAUGGAGGAACGCAGCAGCUCAUUAAAGGACACAUGGACCGCUCUGUCUAUCUGACGAGACGUCCAGCCGCCAUCUUGGAGAGGGCAACCGCUCCACUCAGCGUUAUGAUUGUCGGGCACAAUGAAGGAUCAGCACAUUUAAUCAAUAAUAACUCACUAAACAAAUUUUAACCCUUUUUACUGGAAAACUCAUUCAAACAGUUAUUAUAGCUACAUGGACAAGGACAUUUAUAAUAUUCUGAUAUGAUACAGGAUGAGUAGUUUUUUUUUAAAUAAAUUAUUAAGUAAUAUAAAUGCAUAUUUAUAUAAAUACACAAACACAAAAUACAAAUCAGUGAUUCUUGAGAAGAGGAAUAUUUUUAAUAAAAUAUAUAUUUUUUCACUAACCUGGGUCAUGUCAGAACAACAAUGUAUGUUUUCCGGGUGUUUGCAGAAUAUAUUUUAUUUUAAACUUUGUAGUAGGUGGAUGGUGUCUUUAAAAUCCCUGUCUUGGAGCAAAACUCAAUACAUUAUAGUAGUUUAAAACAAUUAAAAGAAUACUAAGAUAAUAUAUUAUGACAAUUAAGUAUAAGUAUUCAAAUAAAUAAUUAUAAAAGUAUCAAUGAAUUUAAUUAAAAAUAAUUUUUAUAUAUUUUCCGACUCAAUUGAAAUUUGUCCCAAGUUUUUGUCAACACCGUCAGACAUAAAAAGAAUGUUAAAAAAAUCAGGCAUUGUUGGGGGCAUCAGAGCUUCUGAGGACCCCAUGACGUCUUCCUUUUUCUUCUUUUGCUAAUAGAGCUAGCAGCUCAAGUUAGCUUAUGUUAUUCUUUAGUUUUUUUCUUCCGUUUUAUUCCUAAAUUGUUCGUCACAACCAUGAUGUGUCAACAACAUAACUGACAAUUUACAAAACUGUUGAAAUUUUGUGAAUUUAAUGCUUAAUUUUAGUAAACUGUAAAGAUUUCAUGGACCCGAUGAGCUACAAUAUGGGUUAGAAUAACAGAGUAACAUCAUUUAAAUUGAGUUAGUUUGGCAUUUUGUCGACUCCAUCAGAGUUUUUAACUGACAUUGCGACUCUUUCAGUGAUAAUGUUGACAAAUCUCCCUUAAAUGUGCAGUUAAUUCCUUUUAAUGUAUUUUACAUAAAUGGCAUUACUUCACAUGUAUCAAGUUUUUCUUUUUACUCACUAGUUUGUCACCACCUUCAGUUCUGUCAACUCCAUCAGAUGGACUUUAUGUUGUUUUUUGUUUUAUUUCUUUUGUUUCUUGAGAAGUAUUUAUCUGUAAAACUGAGUAAAAAUAUCACUAAUAGGGUCAUUAAAACAAUUUUUGAUUUAUUUUUGUCAGAUGGUAAUGACAAAGUUCUGGGUCAGGUCCAUUAAAAAUGUAAUUUUCAAAAAGUUUUGCAACUGGGAGCCUGUACCUUAGUAUUUUUACAUGUCCAAAACAUUAUUUGUCAUAUUGAAUACAUAAGCUUGAGGAAUAAUUAAAAUUUUGGAGGAGAAUAUUUAAACCCAUUUUGUCCCACUUCUCAAGAACCACUGAGAUAUAUCAGAGAUGAUUAAAUAAUGAUUAAUACUGAAUAAUAUA